CUUCAAUUCUCCAGCUAUGUAUGUGGCCAUCCAGGCGUACAGAGACAGAACAGCCUGUGUGGCCACAUACAUAGCUGGAGAGUUGAAGGUCUCGAACAUGAUCUGGGUCAUCUUUUCACGGUUGGCCUUGGGGUU